rnacentral:rRNA from 1 species
UACAGAGGGUGCGAGCGUUGUUCGGAAUUAUUGGGCGUAAAGGGCGCGUAGGCGGUGCGGUAAGUCACCUGUGAAAUCUCCUGGCUCAACUGGGAGCUUGCAGGCGAAACUGCCGUGCUGGAGUGUGGGAGAGGUGCGUGGAAUUCCCGGUGUAGCGGUGAAAUGCGUAGAUAUCGUUUGGAACGCCAAUGGUGAAAACAGGUUGCUGGGGUUGUGCUGACGCUGAGACACGAAAGCCAGGGGAGCGAACGGG